rnacentral:sRNA from 1 species
UGGACCCGCGAGGGGUCUGCCGGGGAUCGCCAGCGGUGCUGCCACCGCUCUCCUUCAGUGGAUCGGCCCCCGGAGGCCCCUCGCGGGUUCA